GUUUAGCAAUUAUAGUGUGUUAGUCUAUAGUUGGAAUAAAAUCUUAUGACAACUCCUGGAAUGGGAGUCUCUCAGGAUAGAGGAGGCACUUCUAGCUGGAGGGUGAUGGAUUUGUGAGCCAUGCACUUGCUCUGUCCUCCUGGAAUAGAGAUUGCCUUGCAGGGUCAGUCCCUGGCUGCUUUUGGGAGUCUGGUGCCAGUCAGCUCUCCACCUCGGACGGACAGAAUGGCGGAUCACUGAAUAGGUGACCCUCUGUAAAUGUGGUGAUUUGCUGUGUUAAGUGCGGCUUUAGAGCUGUCAUGGGGAUCCGAACUGCAGUAGGAUUCGUGUACUUCAUUAUGCUCAUCAAUCAAAAAGCAGGACUAUUCAGCCUUCAGAAGCCGAACAAAAUUCUCCACACUUAAAAAAUCACAUGCAACCAGAUAUUUCAAAGAACAGUGAUACUGUAAUGUUGUCAUAUUUUGCUGAUUAAGUUCAAUAAAACAGAGGGGAUCACCCAUUACUUGGGCAGCUGAAGGGUUAGAACUGUUGAAUUUUCUUAAUGGAAUUGGUCAGAUAUGUUUAUUCAUUGUCUAACAGCACAGCUCUGACAGUAGCACAGUCUGUAAGACAAAUCACAGGUUCGUAUAAAUGUGCUCGUUCCACUACAUUAUCUAUUGUUAAGUGACUGCUAAUUCAAUGAACCUGUAUAUCGGGUGUUUCACACAAUCUAUGUUUAAUGAUGCAUUUAAAAAUAUGUAAAAAAAAAAAUUAAAAAAUUCGGAAUUUG